rnacentral:rRNA from 1 species
AUUGAACGCUGGCGGCAGGCCUAACACAUGCAAGUCGAGCGGAUGAAGGGAGCUUGCUCCUGGAUUCAGCGGCGGACGGGUGAGUAAUGCCUAGGAAUCUGCCUGGUAGUGGGGGAUAACGUCCGGAAACGGGCGCUAAUACCGCAUACGUCCUGAGGGAGAAAGUGGGGGAUCUUCGGACCUCACGCUAUCAGAUGAGCCUAGGUCGGAUUAGCUAGUUGGUGGGGUAAAGGCCUACCAAGGCGACGAUCCGUAACUGGUCUGAGAGGAUGAUCAGUCACACUGGAAGUGAGACACGGUCCAGACUCCUACGGGAGGCAGCAGUGGGGAAUAUUGGACAAAGGGCGAAAGCCUGAUCCAGCCAUGCCGCGUGUGUGAAGAAGGUCUUCGGAUUGUAAAGCACUUUAAGUUGGGAGGAAGGGCAGUAAGUUAAUACCUUGCUGUUUUGACGGUACCAACAGAAUAAGCACCGGCUAACUUCGUG